rnacentral:lncRNA from 1 species
AAGAAGAAGGAAGCACCUGAUCAACCAUCAAAGAAGGAUCAGCGCAGUACUAGCAUACUGUGCUGAUUUCCUGAAGCAGGAUUUCUGAUCGAGAUUCGUGGGCUCGUGUGGAUGACUCCUAGAGGCCGGAUGCAUGUGUGGCUUGCAACAUCAUCCUCAAGCCUGGAUCAGCGAGGUUAAAAUGUCUAACUUGUAAGGUAAUAGAUCUGAUCUAUUGUUUAAUACAUAC